GCUACACAUGCAGUCGAGCGGUAGAGAGGUGCUUGCAUCUCUUGAGAGCGGCGGACGGGUGAGUAAUGCCUAGGAAUCUGCCUGGUGGUGGGGGAUAACGUUCGGAAACGGACGCUAAUACCGCAUACGUCCUACGGGAGAAAGCGGGGGAUCUUCGGACCUCGCGCCAUUAGAUGAGCCUAGGUCGGAUUAGCUAGUUGGUGAGGUAAUGGCUCACCAAGGCGACGAUCCGUAACUGGUCUGAGAGGAUGAUCAGUCACACUGGAACUGAGACACGGUCCAGACUCCUACGGGAGGCAGCAGUGGGGAAUAUUGGACAAUGGGCGAAAGCCUGAUCCAGCCAUGCCGCGUGUGUGAAGAAGGUCUUCGGAUUGUAAAGCACUUUAAGUUGGGAGGAAGGGUAGUAACCUAAUACGUUGCUGCUUUGACGUUACCGACAGAAUAAGCACCGGCUAACUUCGUGCCAGCAGCCGCGGUAAUACGAAGGGUGCAAGCGUUAAUCGGAAUUACUGGGCGUAAAGCGCGCGUAGGUGGUUCAGCAAGUUGGAUGUGAAAGCCCUGGGCUCAACCUGGGAACUGCAUCCAAAACUACUGAGCUAGAGUACGGUAGAGGGUAGUGGAAUUUCCUGUGUAGCGGUGAAAUGCGUAGAUAUAGGAAGGAACACCAGUGGCGAAGGCGACUACCUGGACUGAUACUGACACUGAGGUGCGAAAGCGUGGGGAGCAAACAGGAUUAGAUACCCUGGUAGUCCACGCCGU
rnacentral:rRNA from 1 species